rnacentral:tRNA from 1 species
UGCUGCAUGUCCGGGUGGUGAGGAAGUGGUCUUGAAAACCAUCGGCUGUUAAAGGCUUGCAAGUUCGAAUCUUGUGUGCAGCGU